CCUACGGGAGGCAGCAGUGGGGGAUAUUGCACAAUGGGGGAAACCCUGAUGCAGCGACGCCGCGUGAGUGAAGAAGUAUUUCGGUAUGUAAAGCUCUAUCAGCAGGGAAGAAGAUGACAGUACCUGACCAAGAAGCCCCGGCUAACUACGUGCCAGCAGCCGCGGUAAUACGUAGGGGGCAAGCGUUAUCCGGAUUUACUGGGUGUAAAGGGAGCGUAGGUGGCAUGGCAAGCCAGAAGUGAAAACCCGGGGCUUAACCCCGCGGAUUGCUUUUGGAACUGUCAGGCUGGAGUGCAGGAGGGGCAGGCGGAAUUCCUGGUGUAGCGGUGAAAUGCGUAGAUAUCAGGAGGAACACCGGUGGCGAAGGCGGCCUGCUGGACUGUAACUGACACUGAGGCUCGAAAGCGUGGGGAGCAAACAGGAUUAGAUACCCGGGUAGUC
rnacentral:rRNA from 1 species